rnacentral:rRNA from 1 species
UACGGGGGGAGCAAGCGUUGUUCGGAUUUACUGGGCGUAAAGGGCUCGUAGGCGGCCAACUAAGUCAGACGUGAAAUCCCUCGGCUUAACCGGGGAACUGCGUCUGAUACUGGAUGGCUUGAGUUCGGGAGAGGGAUGCGGAAUUCCAGGUGUAGCGGUGAAAUGCGCAGAUAUCAGGAAGAACACCAAUGGCGAAAGCAGCUCUCUGGGACGGUACUGACGCUGAGACGCGAAAGCGUGGGGAGCGAACAGG